GGGAGUAUAGCUCAGUGGGAAAGCACGUGUUUAGCAUGCAUGAGGUCCUGGGUUCAAUCCCCAGCACCUCCA
rnacentral:tRNA from 1 species